AUACAUUGAGCCCAUGGUGCCCUGCCAAGGGUUAUAGCUUCUUCCCACCAGAAAGCUGUGGUGAGUCUCCCCGGGAGUCAUAUUUGACUAACAACUGCAGCUUGUGGCCCUCAGAAGUAGACACUGUUUUCCCUGACAUUUGUAUGUGACCACAUCGUGCAUACAAGGAUAAAGGCUGUGCUUCAAGGAAACGUAUCUCUGAGGAGAAUGAAAAAAGCCUUUGAUAACAAAUCACGUCUGUUUCUCAAUCUUUUCCUGCCAGCCAAGCUGCUGACUUCUGAUCAGAAAUCAAGUGUGCUAGAAAGACGUGGACUGCUGUCAGCUGGCACCAGUCUGCUGUGCCACGGAGGGAAGCGUGAGGUGCACAACAGCUGGGAAGGGAAGGGAAAAGUGUGUACUGACAUGCUGAUGUAUGAUAUAUAUGAAAAUAUGUGGUAAAUAGGUGCAUAAAACCCCCUAUGGUUCAUAUAAAACACUGUGCUGGGGCUGAGUUUCUGGUUGGCUUCUGCUCUAUAUGGGAACCCCAGAUUUCAGUGGCUGUUGUGGUAAAUGCUUGUGAUUCUCUAAUGCAAUAGUGAAUUCCUGGAGAGAGACGAGGUGCCCCAAACACUUUGUUCCAGGAAAAAAACUGUUCUGGGUUUUGCCUCCUGCGUAACAAAAAGGGAGCAAAUGCCAGAGCAGUCAUCCAGGUAACUCUAUUGCUUGGUGCUUGUUUUAUGCCACCUCUCUUUGGGGCAUCUUCUAAAAACUGAGGUUUAUUCCAGGUCUUGACUUCUCCAGCCUUUUCUGACACUUCCUUUGAAUGUCUUCAUCUUCUCUAAGGCAGCAAAUUUUGAUUCUCCUUUUUCUCUUCCCCUCCCUUGAGCCUCCUGGAGAGAGCACAGAAAUUGCCUCUACAUAUUGAUCAGCCAUUCCUUCCCAACUAAUUUCUGUUUUCUCUCAGGCCAUCCAGCAGUCUUGGGUGAUUUAAAUGUAAAGACUGUACAGACUAUAUGUUUCUUCCCCUACUGGAGAAAUUUUUCUUUGUACAUACGUUGGGCAUGGCAAAGCCCUCCUGGCCUUGAAGAUGAUCUGAAUGUAAGCAGAUGAUCAGGACUCUGUUAUCAUCAUGUGAUACCAGACCAGAAAUUCAGCAUCUCUGUUUGUAUAUUCAACAUCCUCAGCUGUGUACCCUGCCUUGUUCAGUGCUGAGGUCUAAUUGAGAUCUCUCUGUAGCAUCAGGUACUGAAUAUGGCCUGACCAGCACCUCUGGAAGUCUCCUUGACCUCAUAUGGAUCUCCCCAUAUAUUGUGCUGUCUGUCCAGAAUUAAUCUGGAUUCCGUCCAGUGGAGAGAAGUGGCCAAUACCUCUAAACUACAUGGAGAAGAAGGUCCCAUGGCAUGCAUCAUCUUUGUAUCCUGGUGGAAAUGGCGUGGUCAUAAUCCAUGCAUUACAGAAAAAGAGAAAGCUCUUCCCUGCAAGCUAUUAACAUAAGCCAGCUGUGCGGCAAGUCUAAUUUGAGAAGAGUAAGCUUUGAGGUGGUCAGCAAUAUCAAGGAUGCCUCAGAAGCUUCUUAACUCUGGGUCUUAAUGAAGGUUUCACUAGGACUUCAGGAUGUCAAAACUGUACAGCUCAUGAGAAAGGGCAUUUGCUUGUGAGGAAGAGGGAAGACCUGAGCUCCAGCCCUCACUCAAAAUAAAAGCUCAGUAUUUUAGUAACACGUUUUCUAACAAGGCUUUAAAGAAGGGC
ensembl:lncRNA